GCUGAAAGUUUCACAACAAUGAAGACUUUGGACGGUAGCUGUUCGGUCGUUCUAAGGGUGAGGUUAUGCCAGAGAGACUAUUAUAUGAGCCAUACCAAUUCAGAGAUGGUAACAAAGAUGAAAUACUCCAGCUUUAUUUUCUUUAAAUAUAAGUGUGACACUGCAAGAGGAGUGAUUAAAAAGAAAUGGUGAAUCAUGUAAUGGAAGAAAAUUCGGAAAGGAGACACAUAGGAAAAGUAGUAAAAGGGUAAGAUAACAGACAAAGGGAGGAGAGCGUAGAAGAGUCAUGAGGGAUACAAAUGCAGAAAAGGAAGAAAAGGUAACAGCUUUAUUAAUGGUGACCCUAGCUUUGGUACUGUGUAUUUCUAGUUACACAACUUUCAAAUAGAUUUAUAAAAUCAUUUUUGAUAGGGAAUGGGGAAAAGUUACCAAAAAUGUAACUUUGGGAUGUUCACUGGAUUACAAUGCAAUAAAGUCAUUAGUUUGCUUUGUGGGGUCAAAGAGUAUAGAUACAGUAUUGAUACAUCAUACAUUAAGUAUAGUUACGCUAUGCUAGUAUACUAAUGUAAUAUACAGCGCCUACUUGAAAUGAUAGUACACUAUAUAAGUCCAUUAAUUAGCAUUGAAAGUCAAGACUGAGCUUCAGUAGAUCAGGAUGGAACCUUAAUACUUCACAGGACGGAGAACACAUUCAUUUAAAAGCUUGGGCUCUUUUACUUUUAACAGUUGAGUUUCUGUAUAGAUAUUAAUUGCAGCUCUGUAAUUAAUUUCCAUGAAAUCAACAGGAACUAGGGGUACACAGGAUUUGGGAUUUUCUAUGUAGAGGCCACCAGAGACUUCGGUGAGCAUGGGCUCUUUUAGUCUUCUGUUCCCCUGAACUUAUGCCAGGUGUACUCUCUUAACCCCCUUAAGACAAUGACUCUGGUUUUCCUCAGGCUAAAAUAGGGUUGGCAAGGCUUUCCCUUACUUGGGGAUUUUGGAUGGCCUUUAUACAACUCCUUCCUCCAUAGCAACUGCAUAUUUUUGUACUAGAUUGUGGUGUCCAAGAGGGCAAACAAUCUCCUAUACAAAUUACAAUGGUACUCCACCCACCACCACCAGGAGAAAGAAAAUGCUGCAAGCUACACCCCAAAUUUCUCUCCAUUCAAACUCAGUAAAGCAUCUCUGUUCACCUCUGUAGCUACCCUGUCACCAGCUAGCAGUGCAAUCUGUGAUCUGACAAUGAAGCUGGAGUCUUUCUGCCUCAGACACCAUCACUAGUAAUAAAGAUUCUCAAUUAGAAUUUAGCUGACAAUUCUGUUGAUGAUUCACAAGCCUGAAUAGAAAUUAACUGAGCUGGUUCUGCAGUGCCAACAGGACUAAGAAUUUGUUUUAGUCAGCAAAGCAAGUGGGUAAGAGUCAGAGAUAGAGCAGAUGUGUUGUGUAGGAAGGUAACAUUUUAUAAGCACACGUAAAAUAGUAUCUAUUUAUAAUAUAAAAAUGUCAUUAAUAAUACAGGUAUUUUCAAUUUAGGUGUUUUGUGAUAUUAUGAUUUUUCAAAACAAAAUCCCUUGUCUUCAAAUCAGUGCAUUUACCUAACAUUUUUGCUUGUUUUAUGGGAAUUCAGAAUAUAAAAUAACAUUGACAUAAUUUUAACCCAGUAUUUUGACCCCAGCAAUGUUUUAUGUUUAUUUGUCCUUGUUGUAUUAUUCCUAUUUCAUAACUUUCAUUGACUUCCUGCACUCAUUUAAAACACUACAUAAUCCAGAGGGAAUACCCUAUAAAAUACCACUCUACCUUCCUGUAGACAACAAUAGCAGGAAAACCCGAUGAGGCCCAACCAACUAAUAUGAAAUGAGUGAUUUUUCUGAAGUUUAAUUAUUCUGAUUUUGAUCAGAAGAAAUAACUGAAAUUAGAUAUUUGCUGCCCGCAGUAAGAAAAAUUGAGCAACCGAGAAGUGAAGUAUAGAUGCCUGUGCACAUUUGGUUUUUUACUUUGGUCUUUGUGGGACAGACGUAUGGUAUUGCUUUAAAGUAAUAUAAAAAAAUCAUAAUAGGAUAAUAAUAAUACUUCUCACUUAUAUAGAGUGGCAUCAUACAAGGGUCUUCAAGUGCUUAAAAAAGGUAUAUAAGUAUCAUUAGCCUCAAUAAAUGGAGAAACUGAGGCAUAAGAGGGGUGAGGUGAGUUGGUUCCACUACCACACAGGAAAGUGAAGACCAACACCCAGGUCUCCUGCGUCACAGUCACUUACCCUAUUGUGUCAUCAAGUAUUAAAAGUAUUAAGGAAGGGCUGGAAUUGAACGGUGGACCUCUGACUUCCAUGAAUUGGUCUGAAUGCAGCUUGGCAGUGACUGAAAGUUGUUACCUAUUUUAUGGUUGAUUGCUGAUGUAUGAAAAAUGACUCGAUGGUCUCCAUUAAACUCAUAAUAGGCAGAGAUCCACAUCACAAAAGAAAUAAAAAAGACCACACUGUGCACCUACCUUGGACCUCUCAGCAAAUGAAGUGAGGCCAAAGAUUGAAUAAGCAUAAAGAUUACAUUAGCUUCAAAGCCUGUAGAGAAGCCCCUCCAUGACUGAGGCACAAUGGUGAAGCCAGGACAGAGGAAUCUAUACUGUUUUUGUUCUGUGGAUGGAAAACUUCACCCUUCAGCAUCUUCCAGGUGCGCUACGUGCACUUUAAAAAAACACAGACAAAAAUCUGAGCUUUUCAACCGCAAACUACAGCAGUUCAUUUCUUAAUCUCUAUUCACACAAGGUGAAAUUCUCCUCAAAUGGCUGCACAAGAUCCUGUGCAUCAUUUAAGCCCUUAAUUUGAGCUUUAAUGGUCCCUAGGGCUUGUGGGUUCUCUGCACUAGGGUGAAUUUCACACUUAAAAUAUGCACAAGUCCUCUCCAUUUUCAAUGGGCCAUAUUUACUGGCCAUGUAAGCCAACACAAAUCCAUUUCUGUCAAUAAAAGGAUUACAGUAUAUUUGCCCUUAUAUUAAAUUAGAAGUCAGGCUGAUUAUGUAGUUAAAUAUUCUUAUGUUUAAGUAAUUUUACAUACAAGAGACCUGUUUCAAUGAUUAGUUAAACAAAUACAUUAUCAUCUGCCUGACUUGUGAGCAUAAGGACAAAAACAUUUUAAUUCUUGCAAUAUUUAAAAUAAAAAAUCAAUACCAUACAGCUGUGAAUGCAACAUUUUGUGCUCUGCUGUGUUGUGAUUUUGUCCGGUUCUAGUCACUUUCACAAUACAGGCUGUGUUUACACUGGCAGUUGUAAACUUUUGUCUUUCAGAGGUGUUAAAAAAUAAAAAAAGCCUGAAAGACAAAAGUUUUGCUGCGAAAGCGUCGGUGUGAACAGUGCGUUGUCCGCAGGAGGGCCAACAAACAGCGGCUACGCUGUACGACUUUUAGCAGCAUGGCUUUAGUGACACAGCCCUGUCUCUAAAAGCUGUGUAGUGUAGACAUACUUACAGAGUGGAUGAUUUCACAUUCCAGAGGACAUAUGUGGGUUAGGGGUGAGGUGGAGGGGGGUUACAUUUUCAUUAGUUUUAUAUAGGGAAGUAGGCUUUCUUAGCAAAGAAAGGUUAAGGCCUGAUUGAAUGCAUCAACCAAUCCUGGCCCUGUGCUCUGAAGUGAGUGAUAAAACUCCAGAGUCCACAAACACACACACACGUAUAUAUUUUGUUCUAUUCUUAAGAGCUAUACUUAAGUGGUUUUCUGAAUCAGAGUCCAUAGCAGUUGUGGGCAACCUGCGGCCCACCAUUGGUCAGUGUAAACAAACUGUCUCGCAGCCCGCCAGCGGAUUACCUUGAUGGCCCACAGGUUGCCCACCAAUGGUCUAUAGCAUUAAGAUAUGAUAGUGUGGGUUUUUUUUAUAUAAUUGGGCUUAAAAUAAAUAGGACUUGCAUCCACACACAAAUCUAGAUUACAAAACUACUUGUUCUGUAGUAUUUAGUACUAAACAAUUUAGGGUCAGCGGAGAAGAGAAGAUUUCAACCAGUUUAAAUAACAUCUGAAUCUGGCCUUCAAAGCUUAAAUACAUAACUAUCAUAUUCCUGGAUUGUGUGAUAGCCACAAUAAAAGUACGUGAAGAUAACUGGAAGGGUUUGACUUAAGCCCACAAGAACUAGGGGAAAUAUAUUCAGAAGAGCACCAUAAAUUUGUUUAAUCCUAAAAUUAUAUCUACCACCCUAUACUUGUUCUAGACAGCAUUUCAGCAUAAAUUGAUAGACUUUCAUGCAACUUUGUUUUACAAUAGGAUAUACAUAUAUUUUUAAAAUCAUCAGAAAAAUUAAUUGACACCAGCUGUAACCCCAACUCUUCCAAGCCAUUAUGAUCUAUUAUGUAUUUAAUUACAUUUUUAGAAGUGUAUUAGAAUAUUUGGUAAUAAAGUAAUUGGUAUUUAUUCUUUGAUGGCUGUUACAGACCACUAUGUAAGCACAUAAUUGUGAACUUGUUGAAGUACAUUAUUUACUUGCUAGCCCAGAAUAGUAGUUCCUAAGUAUCUUCACGAAGAUCCCUAGGCAAGUUUGAAAGGGUAAUAUUUUUUGUUGCAUGACUGGAACAGCUCUGACUAUGGAUUAAUGUAUCUGUGAGUAGAACUUUUUUUAAAAAAUCUGUUACAUAUAAAACAAAAUCAGAGAGAAACAGCUGACAACUAAGGACAAUGAGUCAAAUAAAAUAAGUACCUCAAUAAACGAUAUUAGUAAUUCUGAGCCUUUACUUGCAAACCUUACUCACUUGAGUAUUCUGAUUCAAAUCAACUGGAUCUCUCAUUUGAGUAAGGAUUGCUGAAUCAGGCCCUUUGUAAGUGUACCAUUCCAUACAUAGGUGGUGACUCUGUGGGUGUUCCAGGGCUGGAGCACCAACAGAAAAAAAAUUGAGGGUGCUCAGCACCCGCCAGCCACAGCUGUUGUGGCAGUCAACGAUCAGCUGCUCGGCGGUUCGGGAAAGGCCUUGCGGGAGGGCAGAGAGCCGCGAGCCAUGGGCAGAUGGGGGCCUUGGGGAGGGGCUGGAGCAGGGGCAGGAAAAGGCAGUGCGAGGACAGGACCUUGGGAAAGAGGUGGAGUGGGGGCAAGGCCUGAGGGUGGAGUGGGGGUAGAGUACCCCCCAGGGAAAAAUAAAAGUCAGCACCUAUAAUUCCAUAUCGUCUGGUAAAAACAUGCAUUUCAAAAUCAGUAGUGAACAAUUUAAGCUCGGAUUGGUACCUUAAUUUUUAUUUAUUUUUAAUGAGAAUUAUAUUCCCCCUCCUCCCUUGGUGACAAAACGUGUGUGUAUGAAUGUGUGUGGGAAUGGUGACUCUGGUAAGAAGUGACUAAGGUAAACAAGUGCAGUUGCUAAACCACAAAUUAUUUUUAAGUAAACCUUCUGUAUCUAUUUAUAAUGUUAUGUAACACUUAUUUUCUUUGUUUAAUUGGAAGAUCUUCUUGGGAGCAGUUCAAACAUCUAAUGUGAAUACAGCUAGAUAAACCUUUAUAGAGACACUUUAUUUAGCCAAUAAACCAUAAGAGUGCUUGGAUAAAAUGAAAUGUAAUGGUCAUAUAGUAUAAAAAUCCCUACAAAGUAUCAAGAAAUGUGUUUUUAUAGUAUCUCUGGUGUGUUUGCUGUUUUUUAAACCUUACACCUCAGUUGAUUUCUUUCAUCCAAAAAAUAUUUUAAAAGCAACUAAUCCAUAAUAUUGUUUGGAAAAAAUUAUUGAAAAAUGUAAAGAGUUAUUGAAUUAAAGAAUAUAUAAAUGAUGUGCAAAAUCCUGAGACAUGAUGACUUCAAAUACAGAUGCAGAGGCACAGUGCCUCUCAGGAUUUGUCUCAGUGUCUUUAACUUAUCAAUGUACUUUUUGGACCCCUAUAAUUCAAAUUAUAUUGCUCUUCUAAGAUGAGUUUCAGAGUAGAGACCUUGUAUGUCAAGUUUCAGCCCUGAGCAAAUUUUAUGGAUGGGUUACACUUUAUAAAGAGGACUGAUGAUAGAAAUGCAGACUUUAGUCUCAUGAAAUAGGUGCCUUUUUAAUGUGUUACAGAGUACGGGCAGAUGAAGCUAUAGAGGUGUUGGCUCUAAUUUAUAACAAAAUUCUCAGAGGUAUUGAGGCAUGUAAUUCCCAUUGAUUUAAUAGGAGUUGGGUGCCUACACAGCUUUGAAGAUAUGGACCAAAAUGUCCAAUUUUGUAAUCACUAUGCAUGGGAAACUCCCAUUGAAUUCAAUGCACCUAGAAAAACAAAUGCAACAUCUGUUUCACGAACCCAGAUUCCUCCCUCUGAACUGCUGAGUAGGAAGAAACCCAGAAUGUACAGCUCUUCUAGGUGAUUGUCACAACCUACAUGUCAUCACACCAUACCUCUCAAAUGUCUUUCAUUUCAAGGGACAUCACUCAUUGGUCACAAAACCAGCUCCUUAUCACAUAUUUGGUGUCCCUUCACUUUUAUUCCUGAAAAUUAUUUAUGUCAGAAGGAAAAAUCGUGUAACUAAGGUUACAGAAAGAGUCACUUACACUUAGGGAAGGAAUCACGUUAUUUUCCCUGCAUUGACUAAAGUUUUGCAUUUUCCCCAUUCUGGAUCUUUGCCAUAUGUUGCAUCUCGCACUUGGGCAUUGGCAGGUUGAGAGGUAGGAUCACAACUCAGUGCUAUGUCUGAGGCGUGGUUUACACUUAAAAUUUAGAUUGACCUAGUUAUGUCGCUCAGGAGUGUGAAAAAUUCACACCCUUGAGAGCUGUAGUUAAGCUGACCUAACUCUUGGUGUAGAUGCGGCUAGGUCAAUGGAAGAACCUAGCAACUGCCUCUUGAAGAGGUGGAUUACCUUCAUCGAUAGAAAAACUCUUUCCAUCUACACUAUAGUGCUACAGCGACAUAGCUGCAGGCAUGCCCUGACAUUAAAUGAACUCAAACUCACAAAAAUACAGAUUUAGUUCAAGAGACUACUGUGACACCCUGGCACCCCAAUAUUCACCACUGUCAUGUAAUUAGGAUAUGUUUUCUACAAAGUAUGCCUUGUGAGGUAUCAUUCUAAAAGUCUUGAUCUGCUAGACAGUAAUAUCUCGUUGGACUGUAUGUGCUACCAUCAUAUGCGAAGUUAUAAAGUUUGACUAUGUCUGUGUUACUGAAACAUAUUGUGUGGUUGAAAACACCCACAAGCAGCUUUUCGGGUACAACAGUAAAAAGGCCAAACAAUAUUAACAGCUGAUUGAGGAAAUGCACACAAGCACAAGGAUUACCCCAGGAACUGUGUACAAUAGAAACUUCCCAGAGAUAGCAGUACACAAUGGGAACUAUUUGACCUAGGUCAGAGCAAAAGAGCUUUCCAGCAAGUGGGAAGAAGAAAUAAAAGGGGGACAAUGACAGCAUGAUGGUACCUCACUCUCCCUACAAGAGCACACCUGGAAACACCUGAGGUGCAAGGACUGAACUGUGGGAAGUGAAGGUCCCAGGCUAGAGGGAUUUUUAGUCUGUGUAUGAAAACCUGGAAAAGCCAGCUUGUGUCUUAAGAAUCUGCCAGCCUGUUUAUCACUCAGGAUGAGAAUUUGCUAAUUCAUAUCCUACAUAUUUAGUGUGUUAAACUCAGUUUGCAAUUUUGUUUAUUUACUAAAGUAAUCUGCUUUGAUCUGUUUGCUAUCACUUCUAAUCACUUCAAAUCUAUCUUUUGUAGUUAAUAAACUUGUUUUGUUUUGUCUAAAACCAGUGUGUGUGGAAAUUAUAACUUGGGGCAGAAAGCUGUUGCAUAUCUCUCUCCACAGUGAGGUGAAUUUCAUGAGUUUACGCUAUAGAGUUCUCUGUGAAGCGCAAGACAGUACAAUUUUGGGUUUACACUCCAGAGGCGGGUGCGUGCCUUAGCAACUGGGAGGUGCCUUAGCUGAGCCUUCCCAUGCAGAGCUGAUCUCAGCAUCUGUGUGUAAAGCUGCAGUUGGGUGUGUCCCUAUCAGUGUGUAUGCUGGUGAAAGAGCAAGCGUGGAGAGCCUGGCAAUUUAUCACUGCACCACAGUGUGAAAGGGAACCCAGGCUGGUAGGUUAGGUGGGCUCAGUGGUAUCCCAGGUCCAAGUGGCACCCCAGGGGGAACCUAUCACAACUACAACAGGGCCAUUUUUAGUGGGUUCAGCUUCCUCAGUUGUUUUCACAGCCUGCUAUGUAGUUCCUGUUUAAAGUUUUAAAGAAAAAAUAGAUAUUUAAAUUAUGCUUGCUUUACACAGGCAAAAAAAAGAACAACUCUGAACAAAACAAAAUCAAUUAAUUUCAGAUGACAGCUUACAGAACAGAUUUCCACCUGUCCUCAUCUUCUUUCACGUUCACAAACAGAAUUUUAAAUUACUAGGUAACAGGAAAAGAAGCCUAGAAACCUAAUAUUUUAAACUCCUAAGGGUCUGUGAUCCUGCAAACCCUUACUAUGACACACUAUGCCUAAUAGGGUUUACAUGAUUGGGCCUAAUACAGCAUAUUAGUUGAACAUGCAUCUGUAUUUUCUCAAUCAUACCUAAUUAUUUUUGUUCACAUUAAUAAACUAUAACUGUUGUAAUUCUAUUUUUUAUUCUUAUCAUCCUGGUAACAAUUAUCCAUGUGUGGGUGUUUUCUCAAUUUACCACAGGCAGUUUCUUAUAUUGUGCUCAUCAGCAUGUUAUCUGAACACCUUCCAGAAUCAGGAAAUUCAAUAAAGGGACUAAAGGUUGAUCUCCAUUCCCCUCUAAUCCCCUCUUCUCCAGGGAAAAUUGUAUUGAUAGUGUGGGUGGAGGUUUUGUUUGUAUUUUUAAAAUAAAUUCAUGUGUUAUGUAUUUUUUUUCCCUUAGGGAAAAUGAGAUUGAAAAAAUGCACCCUGCUUUUGAAUUGGUUGUGGUAGUUGCUGUGGGAGAUGAUUCCAGUCUAUUCCUGAGCCAUCCCCUAAGAAAGCCUUAUCAAACAAACUUUGCCUUUUAGGUAGAUUUCUGAGAGCAGAAUCAGUGAGACUUGUGGUCCCAGAGGGUGAUCACGGCAGAGUUUAUGCUCCCUGAUUGGAUGACUGAAUCAUUUUAAACAAGAAGAUGACACAUAAAUAGUGAUUAAUGUGCUUCUGGCACAAAUUUCCAGCUGAGUAAUCAGGGAAACUUUUAAGAUUUGCAAACAUUUUCACAAACAUCCAUUGGCUAUGAACAAUGAAUUAUAAGACCACAAAUAACAGCUAACCAAAUUCACCAUUAUAUUCACAAAUCACUUUUUUCAUUAUUCAACCAGCCCUAAAGAUACAUCUACAAAGUUAACUAAUUUGAAGUAUAAUGAUUCUAUGGACACAUUUAUUAUAGCAGUGUCAGUUAAAAGCUGUCACUCAGCUUAAGGACUGCUGUCGCAACUGAAAUGGUCAGAAUCAAUUUUUGAUCUUAGGUAUAAUAGUAACCACCGAACUCAGUGGAUGUGAUCCUUUGUGACCCUGACUUGAGUCAGGUGAGCGGGACCAGGAAAUACAAUUGAGUAAUUUACCAGCACUUCUUACUCUUACACAUUUAUCAUAAUACGAUAUUUUCAUGUAGUCUAAUGUACUAUCCUGUCUUGAAUACAGAAGAAUAUUUCCCCAUGAUAAAAAACAUUUAAUUUAGGUGAAGGUCCUUUGAUUAUUACUUACUGGAUCAAAUGUAUUCAGUCCUAAUUUAUAUACCAGGCAGAGUAUAAGAUCUCAGGGACCAAAUUCUACCUUGGUGUAACAGCACUGGCUUCAAAAGAAUUGGCACCACUUAAAUCAAAGAUAUGCCUCCACAUGGUUUCUCAGCAAAACACAGCACAGCACACAGGAAAGAUAAUCGAUCCACAGUGCCAAAAAUGUGUUCUAUUCAUCCAUAGCAUAAACAGCAUCAAUACAAGACUCCUCUAUACUGAAUAUUGCCACACCAAUGUUUCAACUGAGUUUUAGAGAAGUCACCUUUAUGGUGAGAAAGUAAGGCUAUGUCUACACUGCAAUUGAACGACAAAACUUUUAUCUUUCAGAGGUGUUAAAUACCUCCCCUCCUCCCCUGAAAGACAAAAGUUUUGCCACGACAAGUGUCAGUGUGAACACCGUGUUGUCGGCAGGAGUGCUAAGACAUAGCCUAAGUCUCUGGGCCUUUUGGGCCUCUCCUCUGGGAAUGUCAACAAGAGUGAUAGCUUAUUUCAGCUGAGGUAGUAUUGGCCUGAUAUCAUAUAGGACAAUGGACAGCUGUCAAAUGCUAGCACCUCUUCCUUAUUAUCAAUCCUGUCUGCAUUCACACCAAUAAAAAGAAAAGGAGUACUUGUGGCACCUUAGAAACUAACCAAUUUAUUUGAGCAUAAGCUUUCGUGAGCUACAGCUCACCAAUGAACUGCAAGUGAAUAACCCACUACCAACCCCCUAAACAAUCCAGUCCUUCUCUUAUCGUAUAAAUUCAGCCUUGCAGGAAAACUGAGAGAGAAAAUUAAUUCAUAUUGACAUUUAAGAAUUGUUCAGAUUUGUACUUAUUUUUGUUUAUUAGAAGCGAGUCUAUUUCAAAUUGACUGCAAUGUGGUCAGGGCACACACUGGGUGCAUGUAAGCAAGUUACACUGUGAUAUAUUUCUAGUGUCACUUACAGCCAGAUCUGCAAGAAUUACACAAAUACAAACAUUUGCUUGCUAUGUCAUUUUACUGACCUGGCAGAGUGCCCUUUGUUAUCUAAAGAGCUAUUUUAGUAGACCCAGCUGUGGGUAGGGUUACUCUGUCCACAUAUUUGACCACCCAGGACAAAUAUGGCAUGCUUUAACCCCUACUAUGUUCUCUGCAAAAAGAAAAGGAGUACUUGUGGCACCUUAGAGACUAACCAAUUUAUUUGAGCAUAAGCUUUCGUGAGCUACAGCUCACUUCAUUGGAUGUCACUCUACUCCAACAUGUCAUUCAAGCAUUCAGAUACAGAAUGGUCUUGCUAGUCAUGUCAUUAUUUUACAUGUAAUAACAAUUAGAAUUUAUUGUGACAGCAGUUAUCUCUCAAAUAAUAUCUUUCAUUUCUAAGGAUCUCAAAGCACUUUACAAACAUUCAUUAAGCCUAACUUCAUAUCCAUAAGUAUGAUCCUCAUUUUAAAAAUGGGGAAAUUGAGGCGCAGAGAAGUGUAGUUGCCAGAUGUCACAAAGCAAGUCAGAAGAAGAACCAAGAGCAGAUCUGGACUCCCAGUCCUGUUUUCUAAUCACUCCAGGAUCUCAACAACUGAUGAUAAACCACAGAACUAGAUUCAAGUAGACUAGAGAAUAGUUAGAAUGAAGAAAUGAAUUACUUUAAAAAAACAACAGGUUUAAUAUAAUGUAAAUGCUGUCCUGUCUUCGCUAUCAUGUAACAGGGUUUUAGAAUUGUUGUUGGGGGCCUCGCCUCUCAGAAGAAUGUUGAUGUUUCUUCAACCAUUAAGAGUUAAUAAGAUGGCCAGUGCUAUGACAGGUAAAUAUGCAUCCUAUCUAAUAGUAACAAACAUAGUUUUAUUGACGAGAUAAUAGCAAAUACAUACCUCUUUACUUAGGAGAUAAAUGUGAGAACAUUCCCUGUUGUUUACCAAUCAAUAUAACACAGAGACCAAUAAUCCCUACUUCUCUAAAAUCAGUGGAAAUACAUUUUUAAGUGGAAAAUUCUCAAAUUGUACUUUGUUUAUCUCUGGUACCUGUCCUUUUUUUUCUCCUUUAUACAUUAGUAAAAUCUCAUCCUGUGUUUACCAGUAGGUAGGAAACGAAAAGAUACUCAUCAGAAGAGAUGAGAGCACAAGCCAUGAAGUUUUAAUUUGGAACUAAUCUUACACAUACCCUAAGGAUAAAUUUUACCUAUGCAGUCAGAUAGCCCUUUCAUCUACACAUAUACCUAAGAAGAUUCAAAAGAGUUCCUCUCUUCAAAGUUAGCAGCAUAGAUUAAAGCAUCCAAAAUCAAGACCAAAUCCAAUUGGAAAAAUGGUAGCAUAUCAAGAACAUCAGCAUUUUGCUAAAUCACCUUUUGUUUACCAAGUCCUGUCCCUUUUCUGGAGAUCUGCCAUUCCAAACCUGGAGGACGUGCAAAGUUGAAGAUCCCUGCUUUUCUGAGAAUGGCAAAAUGUUGUCAGAUCAUAAGAUGCAGGGGGAAAAAACACUGCCAGCUGUUCAAUUUACUGAAAAAUUCGAAGAUAGAUCAGAGGAAAGAUUUUGGCUUAGGAUCAGAAAAAUGUUGCACUGGAGUAUUUAGCUUAAGAAGAAAAAAUGAAAUGAAGCAGAGGUAAAAUAUUUAACAUACAUAUGUUUCCCAUAACAUCAAUCUAGAAUAGUUUACAAUAAUAAAAAGCUCUCGAGCAGGUCUAGACAUCAUGGUAGUUAAAAAGCUGGUGGGCACCAAUGCCUAGUCAACACUAGUGUUCUCAAUAUUGCUGCCACUGGCAACAACAGUGGGAAUUUUUUUCAGAAAAAGGAUAAGUGCAGACCAGGCCAAUGGGGCUGUGUGGGAUAAAAGUGAAGUAUGUCCCAUAGUGAGGAAACCCAGAGAGGUACAGCUUUCAGAGUAGCAGCCCUGUUAGUCUGUAUUCGCAAAAAGAAAAGGAGAGUCGAGGGGGGGCGGGAACCUUUUGUAGUGAUAAUCAAGGUGGCCCAUUUCCAGCAGUUGACAAGAACGUCUGAGGAACAGUGGGGGGUGGAGGAGGGAAUAAACAUGGGGAAAGCUUAUGCUCAAAUAAAUUGGUUAGUCUCUAAAGUGCCACAAGUACUCCUUUUCUUCAUGGGGAAAUAGUUUUACUUUGUGUAAUGACCCAUCCACUCCCAGUCUCUAUUCAAGCCUAAAUUAAUUGUAUCCAGUUUGCAAAUUAAUUCCAAUUCAGCAGUCUCUCCUUGGAGUCUGUUUUUGAAUUUUUUAAUCCUGGCCCCCUGGCUCCUAACUGAAAGAGUAAUUUGACCCUUGUCACCACAGUCCAGCCCUCUUUAUCUAGAUUUGGUUCCCCCAGGCUGAAGGGAGGCCAACAAUCAAAGAUCUGAUGGAACAACCAUUUGCAUCUUUGAAGGUUGCACAUCCUUUUCAAGGAAUGGAACAUCCAACUUUACUAGAUAGGCACAUUUGCUGAAUAUUUUUGCUAGUAAGGAACAAUUCCUGACAUUUAAAUCCUGAUCCUUAAACUUUCAUGUUAAUAAACCACUGGGGGCAAUUCACAAAAUACACUGGUUCAGUCUGUGUCUGCAAACUGCAGGUAUGUGGGACAAGGAGAUGAGAUGAAGGCUAGUUUUCAAAAGAAUGGGUUAUUUUUGUUCUACAAAUUCAAGAAUCCAUGAGACUGCAAAAUAAACAGCAAGAGAUCCUUUCAAAACAAAACUACACAUACUUUAAAAAGCUUACUUAAAACAUUUUAGAAAAUUACCUGCAUACAGCUUUUAAAGCCAAAUCAUUUCCUAAUUAAAAUGGGUGGGAGUCAAUUUUUUCCUUUCACACCUUGAAAUGCAUGACCCUACCCAGUAAGCUUUAUCUCUUAUAUAUUAACAAUAUUAAUUUGAAAGUGAAUUCAGCUCCAUUGUUUUUGUUACAAGUUGAAGUGAUUCUUAAAUCAGAAGCAAAAAUACUGGAGUUUUCUUUUAAAUCCCAUCAUUUUAAACCAAAAAUCUAUUAUCCUUUAUUUGCUGCAGCACCUUAAUUUUAGAGUGAAUUUCUGUGUAUUGCUCUCAGUUUCACCUUUGUUGUGCAACCCUUUUCCUCCAACAGAAGGUUUUGUAGUUAAAAUUUCUCUGAACUCUCUGUACAAGAGCCUAGAGGUGAACUGGUCCAGGAUACUGAAAGCAUCUUGGCCUGUCUGCUAAAUUUUCUGUAUAAAAUAUGUUAUAUGAGACAAGUAAUCAUUUAGAGGCCCAAUAGCUUGUAUAUCACUAGGGGAUUAAAUUAAUCCCAUUGGAAAACUCAGAACUAGCUGCUUGUGAUGUCAGCUACAGCAUGAGACUCAGGCCCUCAAAUUGCAUGGACAGGUGGGAAUUCUGAUGUAACACCACAUUAAAAACCUGUAGUGCAUUAGUUAUGUAAUCACUGUACCUUUUAUUUUCUUCCUCUGUGUACGGCACCCUUAAAUCUCUGAGUAUUCUGGAGUUGGCCCACACAGACACAGGGUAUGUCUGUGCUUGAUUUUUUAGUUGUGUUUUACUUUCCCAGUAUGAUGAUCAAUUCAGUGAACACACACUGUGCCGUCCCAUGAGUCUUUAGUUGUCUUGGUUUUAAAUUCUUUUAAUCUAAACUAAAUGUUAUUGUGACUAAAAAUAUGUUUGUACAUUGUGUCUGGAAAAAACAUAACUGUACAAUUAUGAUUAUUAAAUUAACUUCUAAAGAAAAA